ensembl:snoRNA
ACUCUCUCCACUCUGCAUGAUUACCCUGGUUGUCCUAUCAUUUUUUAUCAGGGAGAGAGAAAAGAGCUCUUUGGGAUGCCCCACUGGCCUCUCUUUCCUUGAGGGGUGCAAUAGGC